UUUAGGGAGACCUACCCACUUGUUGAUUGAGAGAUUUCAGUCAUGAAUAUCAUCAUCGCAAGCUGGUCAUCCUAGGUCGUGCACAGAUGAGUUUUAUCUUAAAGUUUACCUUCAAACUAUAUUCUGGUUUGGUUUUUAAUCAGCACCAAAAAGGAAAGUAAAAUUUAUCUUCUUUUUGUCUGCUGAGUGAAAGCUCAGUAAAAGAACCUUGAAAAUUGGAUAGAGAAAAGGCAGUACGACAGACAAAGACUAUGUUCUGAGUUUGGGGAUGUGAUGUUGAAAGAUGUUGCGUUCUAGAGCGAAGAAAGAAGUCGAGUUUGUAUAUGUUAUGUAGAGAAAGU
rnacentral:misc_RNA from 1 species